GGGCUGUCCACCUGCAACUUGGCUUAUUUCUGUGACUUGGGCUCUUGAAUGGAGGAGGCUUUUGACUUGCCAAUUGGUCUUUGACUUGGGCAGUCCAGUUGUAACUGGGCUGGAGGCGAGGAGGCCUGCUGCUGGAGCAGGUGGCAGUUCGGGCCCGCUUAAUUACGGUUGGUCCAAACUGAUUCAAUUCCUUCUUCUUUUUUUGGUGCCACGAACUAGAAGCAGUAUGAGCCAAGGUGAUCAUGUGUGGCCUAUAGACGUGCUGAAAGUCAGCAGCAUAUGGGAAGAGGAGGUUGGCAACGGUCCGCUAUUCCUCUCACCUACUGUGAUGGUAAGUUGCAUCCCUUUGAUAUGCUGUAGUUACCAUGGAAUUUUUUGUUCUGUGUCUGACUGACUUCUGUCUCCUGCUUGUAGAAAAUGACAUCUGCAAGAAGCUUGAUCUCGGCCCGGACAUGACCAAUGUUCAUCAAGCUUUGAACAUCAUUGCC
rnacentral:lncRNA from 1 species